GGAAAACUAGUUUAAUGCAUAGGUUCACUGAAGAAUGGCUAGCCAUGUAGGAAUAUGAUUAGACAAAAAGAGUGUGAUCUAAUGGUAAUAACAGAGGUUGGGGCAGGGGAGGGAAAUCCAGAAAGGCCUGUCUGUUCAGAUUUUUCUUGGCCUGUGUAGCAUUUUUUCCUCCUGGGGAUGGGGCAGGACCCCUCUGAAAUGAGGGUCUCCAAGGAAGAAGGGAGAAGGAAAAGGGAGUGGCCUUUCUAGGUUUUAUGGCUUGCUUUGGGGGAAAGGGAUUCUAGUUUCUAUGACCCACCUUGGGGAAGAGGAAUUCUGGUUUCUGUGAAUCACCUCAGAGGAGAAAGACUGGUGGAAAACCGAAGGAUGGGAGAGGUCAGAGAGCCCCGCCUUCUGAGACCUUCCAGUCUCCUUCAGUUUAAAUUACUCAGCAUGUCAAAGUGUUCAGAGCCCAACACCAGGUUAUUGGGCCUUAUGUUCCAAGUAGAGAACUGCAUGGUGUAGACAAGAGGUGGUAUUGAAGGACUGGGUGGCAGAGCAGGGACAAGGUCAAUGGCAUUUCGGAGUUACUCAUCUGGUACCAGUGUGGAGCCUGGAUUCCAGAAGAGGAGUGAAAAAAGGAACCAGGGUGAAAAGAAAUUGAGGAAGUAGAAUGUGCCGACUUGCCACACCUGCUGUGCACAGUAAGGAAGAGGGAAGAAGACGGUUCCCGCACUUCUGGCCUGACACACCAGCCAACAGUUGUAUCAAUCAGGACUCUUUCUAAUGCAAGUCACAGAGUAUUAAGCAAUAAGGAAGUUUCUUGGCUUAUGUAGCUGAAAAAUCCUAAGUGCAGCCAAUUUUGAUAUGCUUGGUCACAACGAAAGCUUUAACAACAACAACAACAUAAUUUAUAGGUCAUAUUCUCAAAUCAAAAACUGAAAAAUUUCACAUACAUGAUAAAAAUGACCUAAAAAACUUUAUGUAUUUAGAAAUUAAAGAGCAAACUCUUAGAUAAGUCUUGGAUCAAAAAGGAAGUAAAAGAGGACUCGCAAAGUAUCUAGAAACCAAUGAAAAGGAAAUUACUUUCUAUUGCACCAGACAGGACCCUGAGAAUGGUACUCAGAGAAUAUUUGGAGUUCUCAAAUGCCUUGCAACUGAAAAAUAAAGCCAAAAAAUAAAGGAACUAACUAUUCCUCUCAAAAAUUUAGAAAGAGGCUGGGCGCAGUGGCUCAUGCCUGUAAUCCCAGCACUUUGGGAGUCCGAGUCGGACAGAUCAUAAGGUCAGGAGAUCGAGACCAUCCUGGCUAACACGGUGAAACCCCGUAUCUACUAAAAAAAAUACAAAAAAAAAAAAAAUUAGCUGGGCAUGGUGGCGGGUGCCUGUAGUCCCAGCUACUCAGGAGGCUAAGGCAGGAGAAUGGCGUGAACCCAGUAGGUGGAGCUUGUAGUGAGCCAAGAUCGUGCCACUGCACUCCAACCUGGGUGACAGAGUGAGACUCUGUCUCAAAAAAAAAAAAAAAAAAAAUUUAGAAACAGAAAUCAGGAAAUUGACAUUGACAAAAGUCAAAUUUAGAAUUAAUGAUUUAGAAAAAAGAAAGAAUAAAGAACAGUAGGAGGGAAAAUAUGUGAAAUCUACUGAAAAUAACUCCAAAUGUUUAUUGGAUAGACUAAUAAAAUAAACAGCUUACAAGUUUGAAGAGGGAAAAAAGAAAAAAAGAGAUUAGGAAGCUGAAGUCGAUUAAAAGAUUCAAGAGAGUCACCACAGCCAAUGCUAUGACAGUGAAUAUGAAAAGCUAUAGGAAACGUAUGAUUUUUUUUUGCAAAAUACAGACUAUUUAAAUUCAUCCAAGAAGAGAGGAAAAAUGUGAAUGGACAAAUUAUUACAUGAAUGGACCAAUUAUUACAGAAGUAAUGGUAAAGUGCUUGGACGUUUACUAUUGAAAAGACCUUAGGGCCAGAUGGCCUUAGAGUUGAGUUUGUUUUUCCUUUUUUAACUGAUAUAUAAUAGUUGUACAUUUUUUGGUUUUAAAAUUGAUAUAUAAUAGUUGUACAUAUGUAGCUGAGUUUCAGCUAAGCUCUAAAGUUCUGAUAAUUUACCUCUAAAGGUCUGAUAAUUCCAAUGUUAAGUGAUUUUUUUUUAAGAGACAGGGUCUGGCUAUGUUGCCUAGGCUGGAGUGCGGUGGCUAUUCACAGGCAUGAUCACUGCACGCUACAGUCUCAAACUCUGACCUCAACUGUUCUUCCUGUCUCAGCCUUCCAAGUAGCUGGGACUAAAGGCAUGAGCCACUGCACCCGGCCCAAUGUUAAAUUAUUUAAACCCUUGCUACUCAAAGUGUGUCCGAGGACUGUAGUAUUAAUACCACCUAGAUGCUGAUUAGGAAUGCAGGUUUAGCUACUCCAAGCCAUAUAAAAAUCUUUUAAAUUCACAUUUUGAAGCCAAUACAAUUUUAAUAUCAAAACAUAAGAAAGAAAAAAGGAUAGAGUAAUAUUUGUUAAUUACAAUUAUAAUUAUAGACUAAUUUCACUUAUGAUUUAGAAAUACAAAUUAUAAAUAAAAUAUUAGCUUAUAUAGGUCUUCAUUAUAUCAAGAGUAAAAUACAAUGAACAGCAAGGUUUAUUCCACAACUGCAAGAGUGGUUCAAUAUCCAAAUCCCAGUAACCUAAUCCAUUACACUGAUAAACUACAGAAGAAAAACAUCAGCAGCUGUUCAAAUGAUAAUUGAUAAAAUUCAGCAGCCAUUCCUAAUAAAAAUUCUAAGUAGGCAUGAAAAAAUUUAAACUGACAAAAACUACCAGAAACCAAUAGCAAAUAUUAUCUUAUAUAGAGACACUACUGAAAGCAUUUUAGUCAAGAAACAGAUAGAUACCUGCACCAUCAUUAUUAUUUAAUAUUAUUUUAGAUAUUUUAGCAAAUGCAAGAAGAAAAAAAGUUAACUAGUAAGUAUAAAUAUCAGAAAAGAAAAAAUAAAAACAUGUCUUUUGAUAUGGUUGCAUAUUUAGAAAACUCAAGAUAAUUAAGAAGGCAAAACAGGCUGGGCGUGAUGGCUCAUGCCUGUAAUCCCAGAACUUUGGGAGGCCAAGGCAGGAGGAUCUCUUGAGGCCAGAAGUUUGAGACAAACCUGGUCAAUAUAGUGAAACUCGUCUCUACCAAAAAUAUAAAAAAUUAGCUGAGCGUGAUGGCACACACCUGUAGUCCCAGCUACUCAGGAGGCUGAAGCAUGAGAAUCACUUGAACCCGGGAGGCAGAGGUUGCAGUGAGCCGAGAUUGCGCCACUGUACUCCAGCCUAGGUGACAAAAAAAAAAAAAAGAAAAAGAAAAAAGCUAUUGUUUUUUGUGUAUCUAUGUAGCAUCCUAUAUCUUAUCACACUCUCUUAAUAUGUCUUGUAAUUGUUUUGCCUUCUUUUUUAUUUUUUUGAGACAGAGUCUCGCUCUGUCCCCAGGCUGGAGUACAGUGGCAUGGGUACCAGUGGCUACUCGAGUAGCUGGGAUUACACGUGCGUGCCACCAUGCCCAGCUAAUUUUUGUAUUUUUAGUAGAGACAGGGUUUCACCAUGUUGGCCAGGCUGGUCUCUAACUCCUGAUUGCAAGUGACCCUCCCGCCUUGGCCCCCCAAAGUGCUAGGAUUAUAGGUGUGAGCCACUGCUCCCAGCCCACAAUAGCUUUUUUUCUACCUUAAUAGGAACCAACUAAAAAUAAGAAUGGGAACAUAUUUAUGCAUAUAUAAUGUUGACAUAAACUAUACAUUCUUUAGGAAUAGUUCUAACAAGUAAGUAACAGAAAAUAUAGGGGAAAAACUCUUAGUUAAGAAAACUAUGAGAAAGAAAAACAAUAAGGGAGAUUUGCCCUACCAGAUAAUCGGAAACUAAAGCCACAAUAAUCAAACCUCUACAAGUAUGGAUAUAGAGUUAGAUUCUGAGGAGAUGUUCACGUAGACAAAUGUGGUAAUUUAAUUCAGGAGGAAAGAAAUGGGCCAUUUAAUUAACAACUGACUACUUUCUGGAAGAAAAUUUAAAAAGACUCUGUCUUAUACUACAUAUGAAAAUACACUGCAGAUGAAUAAAAGGCUUAGAUAUAAAUUUUAAAACUCUAGGCAAGAAAUCUAGGUAACUACAUGAUCAAUAGAAACCUACAAGCGAUAAAGUAAAGGUAGCCAUGUUUGAUUAUAUAAAAAAUUUUUUAAAUUUAAGACAAAACCAAUCAUAAACAAAGUCAAUAACAGUAGAUUUGAAAAUAAUAAUAAAGCAUAUGAUAGAAAAGGGGUUGAUUUUUAAAAAACAGAUGAAGAGCUCUUACAAAUUGACAAGAAAAAUGACCAAAAACCCAACAGAAAAUGUGCAACCAAUAUGAAUUGCAAGGGGAUAGAGAAAAAUAAAUCCAAAGACCCACAAACAUAUGAAAAGACACUUAAAUUCACUAGAGUUAGGGAAAUACAGGCUACAGUAACAGUAAGAUAUUACAGGUUAAGCAUUUCUAAUCUGAAAAUCUGAAAUGCUCCAAAAUCAGAAACUUUGAGUGUGGACAUGACACUCUAAAUGGGAAAUUCCACACUGACCUCAUGUGACAGAUCUCAGUCAAAACGCAGAUGUCAACUGCACGGUUUAUUUAGCAUCUGCAAGGUAAUCAAGACCCUCCCGGCCCCCAUCAGCUAUGAUGUAUCUUUUCUGUGCAUGGCCAGAUUCCCUCACGCAAGCAAACCCACAAAAGGUCUUAGAAUGGUAGGUAUGAAGACCAGAUAUGCCAAUGGCAGGUUUGUCAUGAUACCCCACAUGGGGCCAAUACCUAUAUGCAUUACUCACUGUAGUUUUUUCUGCUUAUUCUCUCUCUUGUGGCAUAAAGAUAUUGUUGAAAAUGUCUAGAAGGCCCACAUGAUGCCCAGAGGGUAAUGCAAAUAUUCCAAAACAAAAUCUGAAACACUUUUGGCUCCAAGCAUUUUGGGUAAGGGACCUCAACCUGUACUUGGUAUCCAUCUGAUUGGCAAAAGUUAAAAGGAAUCAUACUGUUACCUGCUAGUGGGAUAUGAGAAAAAUGUCAUCAUACCUAUUGGUGGAAACAUAAAGUGUUAUGGCUUGUUUUGGAAGGCAAUGUGGAUUAAUAAAUGAGUUAAUAUUUGAGAAAUGCUGAAAACACUGUCUGUCAUAUAAUAAAUGCUAUGUACAUUCUUGUUAAGUAAACAAAAGUUCUCUGAAAAAUAAAA
rnacentral:lncRNA from 1 species